rnacentral:tRNA from 1 species
GUCUUGGUGGCUCAGUUGGUCAGAGCGUUGGUCUCAUAGCAAUAUGAAGUACUCUCAGAGUGAGCCAUCCAAAGGUCGUGAGUUCGAGCCUCACCCAGGACA